AUACGGAGGAUCCGAGCGUUAUCCGGAUUUAUUGGGUUUAAAGGGUGCGCAGGCGGCCAUUUAAGUCAGCGGUUAAAUCGUGGGGCUCAACUCCAUUCUGCCGUUGAUACUGGGUGGCUUGAUUGCGGUCGAGGUUGGCGGAAUUCGUUGUGUAGCGGUGAAAUGCAUAGAUAUGACGAAGAACACCGAUUGCGUAGGCAGCUGACCAGACCGCAAAUGACGCUCAUGCACGAAAGUGCGGGGAUCGAACAGGAUUAGAUACCCUGGUAGUCCGCACAGUAAACGAUGAAUACUUGUUUUCGGCGAUAUAAUGUCGGAGGCAAAGCGAAAGCGAUAAGUAUUCCACCUGGGGAGUACGCCGGCAACGGUGAAACUCAAAGGAAUUGACGGGG
rnacentral:rRNA from 1 species